rnacentral:rRNA from 1 species
CCUGAACGCUGUCGGCGUGAUUAAGACAUGCAAGUCGUACGGUGUAGCAAUACACAGUGGCGCACGGGUGAGUAAUGCAUCGCUAAUGUACCCUGGGGUCUGGGAUAGCCAGUCGAAAGACUGGGUAAUACCAGAUGAGACCACGAUCUGGCAUCAGAUUGUGCUCAAAGGGCAACUGCCCUGGGAUCAGGCGAUGUGGUAUCAGGUAGUUGGUAGGGUAACGGCCUACCAAGCCUUCGACGCCUAGCCGGACUGAGAGGUCGGUCGGCCACAUCGGGACUGAGACACUGCCCGGACUCCUACGGGGGGCUGCAGUAAUGAAUCUUCCGCAAUGCACGAAAGUGUGACGGAGCGACGCCGAGUGAAGGAUGAAGUCUUUCGGGAUGUAAACUUCUAAAACCUGUUAGAAAGUUCUGAUCAGCAGGCUAUAAGUGGCGACUAACUCUGUGCCAGCAGUCGCGGUAAUACAGAGGCCACGAGCGUUAGGCGGAAUCACUGGGCUUAAAGCGUGUGUANGUGGAUCGGUAAGUACCUUUGUGAAUCCCACGACUCAAUCGUGGAACUGCUUGGUAUACUGCCAGUCUUGAGGUACUCAGGGGCGAGCGAANCANAAUGUGGAAGCGUGGAAUGCGUAGAUAUCAUCUGGAACGCCCAUGGUGAAGACAGCUCGCUGGGGGUAUUCCUGACCCUGAAACACGAAAGCCCAGGGGAGCAAACGGGAUUAGAUACCCCGGGAGUCCUGGCCCUAAAACAUGUCCACUAGGUUGGGGCUCCCCUGACGGAGUCAUGGCCGAACNGAAAGCGUUAAGUGGACCGCCUGGGAAGUACGGUCGCAAGGCUAAAACUCAAAGGAAUUGACGGGGGCUCACACAAGCGGUGGAGCAUGUGGUUUAAUUCGAAGCAACGCGCAGAACCUUACCUGGGUUUGAAAUGGCUGGAUUAUCUUGGUGAAAGCCGAGUACGCCCUUCGGGGUGGAACAGUCACAGGUGCUGCAUGGCUGUCGUCAGCUCGUGUCGUGAGAUGUCGGGUUAAGUCCCUUAACGAGCGAAACCUUUGUCCUUAGUUGCCAGCGGGUAAUGCCGGGGACUCUAGGGAUACUGCCGGUGUCAAACCGGAGGAAGGUGGAGAUGACGUCAAGUCCGCAUGGCCUUUAUGCCCAGGGCCACACACGUGCUACAAUGGUUGGUACAAAGCGAACCGAUGCCGCGAGGCGGUGGAAAUCGCAUAAAACCAACCCCAGUUCAGAUCGGAGGCUGCAACCCGCCUCCGUGAAGUUGGAAUCGCUAGUAAUCGCGGAUCAGCUACGCCGCGGUGAAUGUGUUCCUGAGCCU